rnacentral:lncRNA from 1 species
UUUAAAUCGCGGCGCUCAACAUGGCGGCGCCCACGUUACCGCUCGGCCGGGUGUCCUCUGGUGCGGGCAAGGACAAAACUUUUUCGCGUCGAGUUGUGCUCCCUUAACCGUCUAGAGAUGCGUCUGAACCCUUAUGAGCCCUUCAGCGCGACCUGAGGGCUGGCCGCCACCUGCGAACCUGCUGACCUUUAAUGACCCUCAUCGGCCGUGCUCCGGAAGCGCUUGCUCCGCUCCGUCUGUGUCCCGGAAACGAAUSAGACCCUGGGACGGUGUUGGCAGAAGGCCUGUCCCUGAUUGUUAAGAUGCAGGUGGACACCUCUGCACUGCACAGCUCGGGUGGACACUGCAAACAUGGCGUCCAUCACCUCCAGGAGAGAGAAGGCUCCUGCCAGAGUGUGACCCCACCGACUAUCUGGCAAUAUUAAAAGAUCCAUUUCUCUGAGCCGAUGUGGCAUGGCAGAGUCAGUUUGCACAACCAAGCUGGCGUGAGAGGAGCAUGGUCUGUGAUCACUGUCUGUUCCAAAGCUUAUGUCAUCGGCCUCUGACGGAAAGACCGACAAGCCAGCAGGUCUCRUAGCUCAACAGGAGUUUCCAACUCCGCCUCAGCUCUGCCCCCUGGUGGGGAGACACGGAGACCCGAGGAGAGGCCCGAGGAGAGGCCACGGUGCGGUCACACACCACUCCACCCCCCUGCAGGGGCAUCCGGUGUCUCUGUGUCAUGAAUCUGUAGAUCGUGUGCUCCACCAUUGGAAAAAAGGGAGCUACAGGAGGCAAGAGAAGAAGCCGCCCUUUACAGGGACACAUCUGGACACUGGUUUCUGCUCUGAGGAUCCCAGGGAGGUGACUUUGUCCCUUUCUUCCGCUUUAUUUAAUAAAGAAUGAACUGACCACGCA